rnacentral:rRNA from 1 species
GCCCCCCACUCAACGGGGGGUAAACGGCGGUCCUACUCUGAGGAUCCUAAGGUAGCAUAAUAAGUUGGCGUUUAAUUGGCGUCUUGUAUGAAGGGGCACACGUGGGAACGACUGUCUCAUGUUUAACUAUUGAAACUAACCUGUAAGUGAAAAGGCUUGCAUGUGUAAGAGGGACGACAAGACCCUACGAAGCUUUACUGUCACUUUCGAUAAUAAAAAAAUAGCGGUAGUGAAGUUUUGUUGGGGCAACAGGGGGGAAAUGUACCAUCCGAUUUCAUCCUAGUAUUAUGUCUGGAUUGGUGUAUUCUUUAUCUUACGUGAAGUGGCCACUAAUUUAGUGAAAACGAUUAAGUUACUCUAGGGAUAACAGCACAAUACCCUCAUAGAGUCCUUAUCGACGAGGGUGCUUGUGACCUCGAUGUCGGCUUAGCGUAACCUCCAGGCGGAGCAGCUUGG